GAUACUGAGGGGGAAGAACCCCUACUGCGGGCUCACCCUAUGGUCCACCAGAAAAUAGAGCAUGAAAUAGCCACUUGGGCCCAAAAAGCAGACCCAGGAAUAAACAGAUGUUGGCUUUAUUCAUAGAAGAAAAUCUUAAUAUUGGCUAUAAUUAUAUAAUAUAUUAUAUAUUAUAUAAUAUAUAUUAUUAUAUAUAAUAUAAUAUAUAUAAUAUAUAUUAUAUAUAUUAUAUUAUAUAAUAUAAUUAUUAUAAAAGGGGAGGCAGCCUGUGGCUCUCCUAGAUCGUCUUCUUUUCCGGAAGCUGCAAUCAGGGAAGUUUUAGCUACAAGAUACGAAAUUUAAAUAACCAUCAAGCUUAUGAAAAGAUGAUCAAAUACAUUUAUAGUCAAAUAAUGCAAAUAAAGUAACAAUGCAAUUUCACUUCACACCAGUUGCAUCUGCAAAAUCUUAAAAAAAAUAGACUUUUAACAGUAAGGCCUAGGGAGACCUAGCAAAAGGAAGUAUUUUUAUUAAUUGUAGGUGCAAAUAAAUAUGUAUUGUUACAGCUUUCUUAUGGAGGCAGUUUAAUUUUUAAAACUAUAAAUACACAUUUCCUUGACUCAAUGAUACCAACUCUAUCAACAGAAAUAGAAACACCAACAUAUAUGAAUAUGGGGAUGUUUAGAAAAACAGACUGGUCUUUAUAAAUAGGCAGAAUGAUAGGAUAAUUCUUCUUUCUUUUUCUUUCUUUCUCUUUCUUUCUUUGUUUCUUUGUUUCUUUCUACAGUUCCUCCAUUGAUUUCUCAGGCUUCAUCUGGAGUUCCACAUGGGUAGUGAUGACAGGGUCAGAUUAACACAUCAUACACAGAAAUAGCUCCAUACAUUGAUUGGUGGGUAAAGGCUAUAAGAUCAGCAUUUAACAGUGACUUUUACCAUAAUUUAGCCGUCAACUUCAUUUCUGUGAACUCAGACUUAAUGGCCAUGUAACAUAAACCUCAAUUUUAGAAUAUGGCCUUUGGUUCUGCCAUGUAAACCAGCAGAAGGGCCAAGGUAAGUCAUGGCAACUAUGUACUGAGCUGGAUAAAAUGAAAGAAAAUGAAUCAUCUGCUGUACUGUCAAUUGGGAGAACUGAUAAAGCAGAAAAUAAUGAUGAACCAGGUGUGCCCUUCUCCAGACAAUUAAGUGCAUGUUUUCUCUUAAAAUCACCUAUCUGGAGAAAAGGCAUAAACUGUUGCCAAUUAAAGCAAGUCUUCUGGAAAUGUCUACAUUGUCUCCUGGAAAGAGGAUGUAAAUAAACACUCAGCAAUGCAUUUCCACGGGAAACAAGAUUGAUGCUGGCCUAUCUCUUGGGCACAGCACCCAGUGGUGGAAACAAUAAAUUUGAAGGAUUAGGUGGCUGGAUCUGUUUCUACAAAAUAACAUUUGCAUUGAGGCCAUAUUAUUAUGAAAAAUAAGGAUAAAAAGUAAUUGAUUAUCAAAAUUUGAGGAUCAUAAAAGAGGAAAGGCUGGUGUAUACAUAUAUAUGAAUCAAGACUUGAAUGGUUCCAAAAGAGACUCCAGGACCCAAAGAACCUAAAAUGUUUACCUGGCCCUUUGUUUUAAAAAUUCUAAGACAUGGUUAUGGUAGCUAUAAAAAUCAUGUCUGGUUUAAUGAUUUUAUAACAUGAAAUUCGAUUUAGUUAUUCAUUGUUGGCAGAGGAAGAUGAAAGACUGCCAGCUACUAGGUAAGGAUUUUAAUGUGUAUGGAGAUAAAUAGAAGAAACUUUCUUCUUUAUGUCUACUCCAACUUUCUUCUCCUCUUUAUAAUUCUGUGUAUUUUUUCUUGCCUUAUAUUUCCCUUUCGUUUUUAUCUUAUUAUUCUAUGUGUAUCUUCACUUGUCAUUUAUGAUCCAUCCAUCUCCACAUGAGCAGUAUUGAAAACUUCCCACCUCCAAUGAACUAAAAAAAUGAACUGAGUCAGAUAAAUAGUACUCUGCACAGUUUUCCUGACAUUUGUUUUAAUGUUCUGCAGUAGAAAAUCAGGAAGAAUUCUGUUUGGUUCAGUGUACCUGUAACAAGCUUUGGCUUUGAUCCAGGUAAUUUUUCAGAUACUGGUGUCUCAAAGACAAAUAAAAUAAGGUGUAUAUCCUUUGUUGUAGAUGACACUCAGCAUUAUUAAAAAAUAUAUUAACCAAUUCAUGUUAAAAAAAGAUUAAACUUCAAUAAGUGUAGUUUUGGCAGUUGAGUCAAUUAUCUUGUAUUCUUAUGAGAGUGAAGCAUCUGGUGAAGUAUACACAUAAAUUAUUUGCAAUUCUCCUGUGUAAAUCAGAGGACUGUCUGCUUUGUGUUUACUUCUUUUUAUUUCUUUUAUGUUUAUAAUACUAAGUAUUCUAAUUUUGUGUGUCGUGUGUGUCUGUGUGUGUGUGUUAUGUAUGACAAGCUUGUUGUACGGUGCGUGCUAAUGACUUUCUUAGCCAUGGGGCAUUUUAUUGCAGUAGCAUCAUGCUGA
rnacentral:lncRNA from 1 species